UACGGAGGGAGCUAGCAUUGUUCGGAAUUACUGGGCGUAAAGCGCGCGUAGGCGGCUUUGUAAGUUAGAGGUGAAAGCCCGGAGCUCAACUCCGGAACUGCCUUUAAAACUGCAUCGCUUGAAUCCAGGAGAGGUGAGUGGAAUUCCGAGUGUAGAGGUGAAAUUCGUAGAUAUUCGGAAGAACACCAGUGGCGAAGGCGGCUCACUGGACUGGUAUUGACGCUGAGGUGCGAAAGCGUGGGGAGCAAACAGG
rnacentral:rRNA from 1 species